rnacentral:tRNA from 1 species
UUGCCUGUAGCUCAGAGGUAAGACCAGCUACUGUCUAAGCGGUUGCUCGCUGCUUCGAAUCCAGCCAAGCUAACCA